rnacentral:rRNA from 1 species
CGCGAAGAACCUUACCAAGGCUUGACAUGGACCGGACCGCCGCAGAAAUGCGGUUUCCCUUCGGGGCCGGUUUACAGGUGGUGCAUGGUUGUCGUCAGCUCGUGUCGUGAGAUGUUGGGUUAAGUCCCGCAACGAGCGCAACCCUCGUUCUAUGUUGCCAGCGCGUUAUGGCGGGGACUCAUAGGAGACUGCCGGGGUCAACUCGGAGGAAGGUGGGGACGACGUCAAAUCAUCAUGCCCCUUAUGUCUUGGGCUUCACGCAUGCUACAAUGGCCGGUACAAAGGGUUGCGAUACUGUGAGGUGGAGCUAAUCCCAAAAAGCCGGUCUCAGUUCGGAUUGAGGUCUGCAACUCGACCUCAUGAAGUCGGAGUCGCUAGUAAUCGCAGAUCAGCAACGCUGCGGUGAAUA